rnacentral:rRNA from 1 species
AGCGAACGCUGGCGGCAGGCUUAACACAUGCAAGUCGAGCGGGCACUUCGGUGUCAGCGGCAGACGGGUGAGUAACACGUGGGAACGUACCCUUCGGUUCGGAAUAACGCUGGGAAACUAGCGCUAAUACCGGAUACGCCCUUUUGGGGAAAGGUUUACUGCCGAAGGAUCGGCCCGCGUCUGAUUAGCUAGUUGGUGGGGUAAUGGCCUACCAAGGCGACGAUCAGUAGCUGGUCUGAGAGGAUGAUCAGCCACACUGGGACUGAGACACGGCCCAGACUCCUACGGGAGGCAGGAGUGGGGAAUAUUGGACAAUGGGCGCAAGCCUGAUCCAGCCAUGCCGCGUGAGUGAUGAAGGCCUUAGGGUUGUAAAGCUCUUUUGUCCGGGACGAUAAUGACGGUACCGGAAGAAUAAGCCCCGGCUAACUUCGUG